AUUGAACGCUGGCGGCAGGCCUAACACAUGCAAGUCGAGCGGAGCGGCGGAGGGGGGAGGAAUGCUAAGGAAUGUGCCAGGGAGUGGGGGAGAAGGACAGGAAAUGGGCGCUGAUACCGCAUACUAUCAGAUGAGAAUAGGUCGGGUUAGCUAGUUGGUGGGGUAAAGGCCUACCAAGGCGAAGAUCCGUAACUGGUCUGAGAGGAUGAGCAGUCACACUGGAACUGAGACACGGUCCAGACUCCUACGGGAGGCAGCAGUGGGGAAUAUUGGACAAUGGGCGCAAGCCUUAUCCAGCCAUGCCGCGUGUGUGAAGAAGGUCUUCGGAUUGUAAAGCACUUUCAGUGGGGAGGCGUUACCAACAGAAUAAGCACCGGCUAACUCCGUGCCAGCAGCCGCGGUAAUUC
rnacentral:rRNA from 1 species